AACGAACGCUGGCGGCAUGCCUAACACAUGCAAGUCGAACGAGACCUUCGGGUCUAGUGGCGCACGGGUGCGUAACGCGUGGGAAUCUACCCUUGGGUUCGGAAUAACAGUUAGAAAUGACUGCUAAUACCGGAUGAUGACGUAAGUCCAAAGAUUUAUCGCCCAAGGAUGAGCCCGCGUAAGAUUAGCUUGUUGGUGGGGCAAUGGCCUACCAAGGCGACGAUCUUUAGCUGGUCGGAGAGGAUGAUCAGCCACACUGGGACUGAGACACGGCCCAGACUCCUACGGGAGGCAGCAGUGGGGAAUAUUGGACAAUGGGCGAAAGCCUGAUCCAGCAGUGCCGCGUGAGUGAUGAAGGCCUUAGGGUUGUAAAGCUCUUUUACCAGGGAUGAUAAUGACAGUACCUGGAGAAUAAGCUCCGGCUAACUCCGUGCCAGCCGCCGCCGUAA
rnacentral:rRNA from 1 species